CACGUAGGGUGCGAGCGUUGUCCGGAAUUAUUGGGCGUAAGGAGCUCGUAGGCGGUGUGUCACGUCGGCCGUGAAAACCUGCAGCUUAACUGUGGGCGUGCGGUCGAUACGGGCAUCACUGGAGUUCGGCAGGGGAGACUGGAAUUCCUGGUGUAGCGGUGAAAUGCGUAGAUAUCGGGAGGAACACCGGUGGCGAAGGCGGCCCCCUGGUUGGAUACUGACGCUGAGACGCGAAAGCGUGGGGAGCAAACAGG
rnacentral:rRNA from 1 species